GGGAGAUUGUUGGAUUCGUCUGACAUGAAACCGGCGCACGGGUGCGUAACACGUAUGCAACCUACCUUUAACUGGGGUAUAGCUCAGAGAAAUCUGAAUUAAUCCCCCAUAAGACUACGACAUGGCAUCAUGAUGUAGUUAAAGCUCCGGCGGUUAAGGAUGGGCAUGCGGUACAUUAGCUAGUUGGUGAGGUAAUGGCUCACCAAGGCUACGAUGUAUAGGGGGUCUGAGAGGAUGAUCCCCCACACUGGUACUGAGACACGGACCAGACUCCUACGGGAGGCAGCAGUAGGGAAUAUUGGUCAAUGGACGCAAGUCUGAACCAGCCAUGCCGCGUGAAGGAUGAAGGCCCUCUGGGUCGUAAACUUCUUUUAUUAGGGAAGAAAACAUGGGAUGCGUCCCAAACUGACGGUACUUAAUGAAUAAGGAUCGGCUAACUUCGUGCCAGCAGCCGCGGUAAGACGAAGGAUCCAAGCGUUGUCCGGAUUUACUGGGUUUAAAGGGUGCGUAGGCGGAAAAUUAAGUCAGUGGUGAAAGCCCGCAGCUCAACUGUGGAACUGCCAUUGAAACUGAUUUUCUUGAAUACAGCUGAGGCAGAUGGAAUAUAACAUGUAGCGGUGAAAUGCUUAGAUAUGUUAUAGAACACCGAUUGCGAAGGCAGUCUGCUAAACUAUUAUUGACGCUGAGGCACGAAAGCGUG
rnacentral:rRNA from 1 species